rnacentral:rRNA from 1 species
AACGAACGCUGGCGGCGUGGUUGAUACAUGCAAGUCGAACGGGAACGAGAUCUUCGGAUCUUUAGUAUAGUGGCGGACGGGUGAGUAACGAGUGAUCAAUCUGCCCUCGAGACGGGGAUAGCCAUUCGAAAGGAUGGGUAAUACCGGAUAAGACUACAGCAUCGCAUGGUGCAGUAGUAAAAGGUGGGGACCUUCGGGCCUGCCGCUUGAGGAGGAGAUCGCUUCCUAUUAGCUUGUUGGUGAGGUAACGGCUCACCAAGGCGAUGAUGGGUAGCCGGCCUGAGAGGGUGAACGGCCACAUUGGGACUGAGACACGGCCCAG